UUUGUGUGAAUGGGUAUAUAAGGUGAUGUGUGUUCAGUAGAGGACAUCAAACAACAAACAGCAACAGGUGGAAUCAGAGAGCAUCACAGCUUCAAUCACUGCAGUCAAGACAAAUCUACGGCAGACAAAACCUUAAAGCAUCUUUCCAAAAUGAUGAAGAUCUGUCUCAUUCUUCUUCUGUGUGUUGCCACUGGCAAUGCACAGACCACCACAGCUGCAGCAACGACAACC